CUGUUUAGUCAUACAGGGUGUGUCUCUGUUCACUCGCAGCGGACUCGUUUUUCCACUCUUUCUACCGGUUCCUCUCUCUUCCUCUCCCUCUCGUUACUGUGAGCUCCGGUGCAGACUCGACCUCCUCCGACAGAACGAUCUUUCUUCUAAUCAAACCAACGAUCAACUAUCUAUCAGAAUGGCUGGUCGAGGCAGUGUGAGAGCCAGUGGAAACUUCAACGCCAACCAAGAUGCAGCGACACUCUACAAGGCCAUGAAGGGACUGGGAACCGAUGAGGAUUCCAUCAUGAAGUUGUUGACGUCUCGUAGCAACAGCCAGAGACAGCAGAUCAAAGCUGCAUACAAGACCCUGCAUGGCAAGGUCAGAA